GUAACUUGUACGCGAGUCAAAGGGUGAAAAACCCCAUGGCGAAAUGAUAGUAAAGGUCGGUUAACCGGCUGACAUGGGAUCCGCUCUUCGGAGCGGCGCACCAUGGCCCUGUCUUGUCUGCUUGCAGAUGGGCAGCGGUAGAGCGCACACGUUGCGACCCGAAAGAUGAUGAACUAUGCCUGAGCAGGACGAAGUCAGAGGAAACUGUGAUGGAAGUCCGUAUCGGUUCUGACGUGAGAAAAAUUACAGUAAUCAUUCAAUUAGAAUACAAGAGUGAUGAAAUAGGAAU
rnacentral:ncRNA from 1 species